CACCGCCCGUCACACCAUGGGAGUUUACNGCACCAGAAGCAGGUAGCCUAACCGCAAGGAUGGCGCCUACCACGGUGUGGUCAAUGACUGGGGUG
rnacentral:rRNA from 1 species